GAGAACAAUUUAAAUCCCUUAUCGAGGAUCAAUUGGAGGGCAAGUCUGGUGCCAGCAGCCGCGGUAAUUCCAGCUCCAAUAGCGUAUACUAAAGUUGUUGCAGUUAAAAAGCUCGUAGUUGAAUUUCUGGUCGUGGCAGUCGGUCCGCCCCUCACGGGGUGUGCACCUGACUUCUGCAGCCAUCCUCGCGGAGAGCGCGUCUGUCGUUUACUCGUCGGGCGCGGGAUCCGCGUCAUUUACUGUGAGCAAAAUAGAGUGUUCAAAGCAGGCUUAGGCCGUUGAAUACAUUAGCAUGGAAUAAUAAGAUAGGACCUUGGUCUAUUUUGUUGGUUUGUACUCCAAGGUAAUGAUUAAUAGGGAUAGUUGGGGGUAUUCGUAUUCAAUUGUCAGAGGUGAAAUUCUUGGAUUUAUGGAAGACGAACUACUGCGAAAGCAUUUACCAAGGAUGUUUUCAUUAAUCAAGAACGAAAGUUAGGGGAUCGAAGAUGAUUAGAUACCAUCGUAGUCUUAACCAUAAACUAUGCCGACUAGGGAUUGGUUGAUGUUUCUUACGACUCAAUCAGCACCUUAUGAGAAAUCAAAAUCUUUGGGUUCCGGGGGGAGUAUGGUCGC
rnacentral:rRNA from 1 species